rnacentral:rRNA from 1 species
UACGUAGGGUGCAAGCGUUGUCCGGAAUUAUUGGGCGUAAGGAGCUCGUAGGCGGUUUGUCGCGUCUGCUGUGAAAACUCGGGGCUUAACCCCGGGCCUGCAGUGGGUACGGGCAGACUGGAGGUAUGCAGGGGAGAACGGAAUUCCUGGUGUAGCGGUGAAAUGCGCAGAUAUCAGGAGGAACACCGGUGGCGAAGGCGGUUCUCUGGGAAUGUCCGUGACGCUGAGGAGCGAAAGUGUGGGGAGGCGAACAGG